GUUAGGAAUAUUGGACAAUGGGCGAAAGCCUGAUCCAGCCAUGCCGCGUGAACGAUGAAGGCCUUCGGGUUGUAAAGUUCUUUAGCCGAUGAUUAUAAUGACUGUAGUCGGAAAAUAAGCCCCGGCUAACUUCGUGCCAGCAGCCGCGGUAAUACGAAGGGGGCGAGCGUUAUUCGGAAUCACUGGGCGUAAAGCGUGCGUAGGCGGUUUUGUAAGUUAGGAGUGAAAGCCCAGGGCUCAACCUUGGAAUUGCUCUUAAAACUGCAAGGCUCGAAUCUCGGAGAGGAUAGCGGAAUUUCCAGUGUAGCAGUGAAAUGCGUAGAUAUUGGAAGGAACACCAGUGGCGUAAGCGGCUAUCUGGACCGAUAUUGACGCUGAGGCACGAAAGCGUGGGGAGCAAACAGGAUUAGAAACCCUUGUAGUCC
rnacentral:rRNA from 1 species